GAUGAACGCUGGCGGCGUGCUUAACACAUGCAAGUCGAACGAUGAAGCCGGAGCUUGCUCUGGUGGAUUAGUGGCGAACGGGUGAGUAACACGUGAGUAACCUGCCCUUGACUCUGGGAUAAGCGCUGGAAACGGCGUCUAAUACCGGAUACGAGCUUCCACCGCAUGGUGAGUUGCUGGAAAGAAUUUCGGUCAAGGAUGGACUCGCGGCCUAUCAGCUUGUUGGUGAGGUAACGGCUCACCAAGGCGACGACGGGUAGCCGGCCUGAGAGGGUGACCGGCCAAACGGGGACUGAGACACGGCCCAGACUCCUACGGGAGGCAGCAGUGGGGAAUAUUGCACAAUGGGCGCAAGCCUGAUGCAGCAACGCCGCGUGAGGGACGAAGGCCUUCGGGUCGUAAACCUCUUUUAGCAGGGAAGAAGCGAAAGUGACGGUACCUGCAGAAAAAGCACCGGCUAACUACGUGCCAGCCGCCGCCGUAA
rnacentral:rRNA from 1 species